GCGCGCGCCCGCCGCCCCGCAGGCGGAGACUCCGGCGCGGAGGCCGGCCCCGCGCGGCGCGUGUGGGAGUCGCGGCCCCUCGCGGCCCCCGCCCGCCGCCCCCCACGCGCGGGAGACACGAUGAGCGCGGGCGGGCGGCAGCGGCGCGGAGCAGCGCAGGCGGCACACGCGCCCAGGCAGCGGCGGCGGCGGCAGCAGCGGGAGCGAGCGCCGCGUUAGCCGGGUCCGCCGCUCCGGCCGCCCGCGGCCGCUCCUCCUCCCGCUCAUUCACUCGCCCUCCUCCCGGCCGCCCGCGCCUCCUCCGCUCAUUCACUCCCGCUCUGCCCGCCGCUUUCUUCUCCUUCUUCACCCUCCGGCUCCCACACCCCCUCCAUUCCCGCUCCUAGCCGACACUGCACUGCAGCUGCUCCGCGCCCUGCCCCCUCCCCAGUGAGCACAUCAGCCACACUGCUCGCCGCCUCAGACUGCUAUUGAUCCGAUUAAAGAAAAAAAAAAAAAAAAAAAGAAAAAAAAAAAAAAAACCUUAGCAACCCCAAACGAGAAAAAAAAAAAAAAAAGCCAAAACAAAAGGGAGCCGCUUCUCCCGGUGCAGCGGCAGGAACUGCAAGCAUGAUGGCGGCAGCUCCCAUUCAGCAGAACGGGACCCAUACGGGGGUUCCCAUAGAUCUGGACCCGCCGGACUCGCGGAAAAGGCCGCUUGAAGCGCCCCCUGAAGCCGGCAGCACCAAGAGGACCAACACGGGCGAAGACGGCCAGUACUUUCUAAAGGUUCUCAUACCUAGUUAUGCUGCUGGAUCUAUAAUUGGGAAGGGAGGACAGACAAUUGUUCAGUUGCAAAAAGAAACUGGAGCCACUAUCAAGCUGUCUAAAUCCAAAGAUUUUUAUCCAGGUACUACUGAGAGGGUUUGCUUGAUCCAGGGAACAAUUGAAGCGCUGAACGCAGUUCAUGGAUUCAUUGCAGAAAAAAUCCGAGAAAUGCCCCAAAAUGUUGCCAAGACAGAACCAGUCAGUAUCCUACAACCUCAGACCACCGUUAAUCCUGAUCGCAUCAAACAAACAUUGCCAUCUUCCCCAACUACCACCAAGUCCUCUCCAUCUGACCCCAUGACCACCUCCAGAGCCAAUCAGAAGCAUAGCUCCUGGAUCACAUGAAGCAAGCAUUAAACGAAGAAGAGCAAAUCCUUAAUUUAUUGAAAGAAUUGUAGCUUAUCAAUAACAUUUCAUUCUCAGUAAUUUGUAGCUCUCCCCUGUACUCCUUCAUGGUAAAGAUUAUAGUUCCCAACAGCACAGCAGGUCUGAUAAUAGGGAAGGGAGGUGCUACUGUGAAGGCUAUAAUGGAGCAGUCAGGGGCUUGGGUGCAGCUUUCCCAGAAACCCGAUGGGAUCAACUUGCAAGAGAGGGUUGUCACUGUGAGUGGAGAACCUGAACAAAACCGAAAAGCUGUUGAACUUAUCAUCCAGAAGAUACAAGAGGAUCCACAGAGUGGCAGCUGUCUCAAUAUCAGUUAUGCCAAUGUGACAGGUCCAGUGGCAAAUUCCAAUCCAACCGGAUCUCCUUAUGCAAACACUGCUGAAGUGUUACCAACUGCCGCAGCAGCCGCAGGGCUAUUAGGACAUGCUAACCUUGCUGGCGUUGCGGCCUUUCCAGCAGUUUUAUCUGGCUUCACAGGCAAUGACCUGGUGGCCAUCACCUCUGCACUUAAUACAUUAGCCAGCUAUGGAUAUAAUCUCAACACAUUAGGUUUAGGUCUCAGCCAAGCAGCAGCAACGGGGGCUUUGGCUGCCGCAGCUGCCAGUGCCAACCCAGCAGCAGCAGCAGCCAAUUUGUUGGCCACCUAUGCCAGUGAAGCCUCAGCCAGCGGCAGCACGGCUGGUGGAACGGCGGGGACAUUUGCAUUAGGUAGCCUGGCUGCUGCUACUGCUGCAACCAAUGGAUACUUUGGAGCUGCCUCGCCCCUAGCUGCCAGUGCCAUUCUAGGGACAGAGAAAUCCACAGAUGGAUCAAAGGAUGUAGUUGAAAUAGCAGUUCCAGAAAACUUAGUUGGUGCAAUACUUGGCAAAGGAGGGAAAACCUUAGUGGAAUACCAGGAGUUGACUGGUGCAAGGAUACAGAUCUCCAAAAAGGGAGAAUUCGUACCUGGCACAAGGAAUCGGAAGGUAACCAUUACUGGAACACCAGCUGCAACACAGGCUGCUCAGUAUUUAAUUACACAGAGGAUCACAUAUGAGCAAGGAGUUCGGGCUGCCAAUCCUCAGAAAGUGGGUUGAGUGUCCCCAUUAUACGUCAGAGUGUUUUAACCCCUCCUUUGCCCCAUUUGGAAGAAGGAUGUACUGUACUUUGCAGAAGUGAAGUUUUUCUGUUAUUAAUAUAUAAUUAUGCAAAUGAAUGCGACUAUGUUGACAAUGUGUAUAUGUAAAUAAUAUGUGUUUUACCAGAUGUUUCAUAGAAUUUUUUCUUGAUCUGUUUUGUUCUCUAUACUUUGCUUGUGUAUAUUUGUCAGAGGUGUUUCUAGUGUAAGAUUUAAGCCUGCCAUUUUACCAGCAUUAUUGUAGUUUAAUGAUUGAAUGUAGACAGGGAUAUGCGUAUAGUUUUCAGUAUUAGUUCUAGAUAACACUAAAUUAACUACUGUUAGGUUGAGUAUGGUGGGGUCAGUGACCUAAACUGGAGUGAGGCCAAAGCACUGUCAUGUAUGUCUUACUUCCUGCUUAGGGCACAGAGAAGUAGGAAACAAUAUUUUGAAAAAUAAGUUUUCAAUUUAAAAUGAUCAAAAAGCAAUAUAGUUGCAUAAAAGCACUGUAAAAUAUUUAAAAGGUUAAAACUGUGGAAAAUUACAUUGGUAAGUUUACAGAUCAAUAAAAGCACCUGUUCUCCAUCUGAACUAGACAAUGGAAAUAAUGCUGCAUGCUGGCCAGGGCCCAUUCUUCAUCAUUUGUAAGUUCAACAAAAGUUCUCACAUGGAGUCCCACCUCUUCCGAGGUUUGUACAUUUGUUUUUAAGCACUGAAUUCACUACUGAUCCCAUCGCCUGGCCAGUAGAACAGUCAUUACUCCAUGAACAUCCUCACUGUUUAGACACAUAACUGUGGUACAGUGUAUUGGAAAUUUUAUAAACAAAAGUGAAAGUGCCAACACAUUAUUGAUAGCUGAUAAUGUUUCAUUAUCUGCAACUGCUGGAUAAGUAUGUUGCAUUUUAAGAGCUUAUAAUUGUGUAUAAUUUGUUAACACUAGCAACCUAUUAGUAUUGUGAAUGUAGAGUUUACUGUGAAGCUAUCUGUGACUUAGCUGUCUGCUCCAUGACGGAGUUCUUGCAGCAUGGCGCUAGCAGCCAGUGCAGUUUCUAAUACUCGGUAAUUUGCAUGUUUUGUGGAGCAUUUUUAUGUCACCAACCAGACAGUAUUUCCUGCAUGCUUAUUUAGAAGAGGCAGUUUAUCUUGAGAGGUAGUGUGAUCUACCUUUGUCAGGCUUUUUGACAGGUCAUUUCAGAGUAAGCCUUUGUUCCCAAGACCCAACAACUGUCACCCUCUUCUGUACCUCUCCUGAGUGCCAACUGUCCAGGCCAUUUGACACACCAUCUGUUAACCUCUGAGUUUGCCCACUCAAGGCCACUCAUAGGGGCAUCCAUCCCCAGCACCUCCUCAUGCUGUGCAUGCAGUCUUAAAUUCAAUGGACAAAACUAAAAUGCUGGCUACCUCUGGAUCAUCUGGCUGAGCAACUGAAUUACAAAAGAGAAUUACUUCCAUCUCAACUUCAGCCCAUUGGUUACGUCCAUCCUAGCAAGCUAAAUGGCAUCCCAGCUGCUCCUUUCUGUGCAACCAAUUAAAGAACAAUGAGUGUGAUGCUCCAUGUCUGAAUUUCGUCCAGCCUCUCUCUGAACUGUGAUCUUUGUCCUCAUGAACUUUCCCUUUUGUUCAUUGAACUAUAUGGACUCUUCAUUUCAUAUUGAUUUACUGUGCAAUUUACUUUUGGACAUUGAGAACUUGAAAUUAUUUCCUGAUCCCUUCCCCUUCCACUAUUAAUAAUUCAUUUCUGUCAAACUGUAAGAGUAGGACUCAUUUUUUUUUUUUUUUAGUUUUUAACAUUGGACUGUUAUUUCAUUUAGAGUUCUCUAUCUCUAAAUAUUUAUUUAGAGAAUGAUUUUCAAAGGGAAUGAUAUGCUUGUUUAAAUGAAAGAGAAAAGCUGUAGUAAACUGUGUUAAUUGGUAAUGACUAUUUAUCGUCGAUACUCUGUAGCUGUGUAAGUUUUGACAAAUAGUGUAUCUCGUGGAAUCAGUGGUUAGCAUUGCCGCUAUUAUAUUUACUCAUUUUAUCAUUAUAAAUGUGCUUAGUUCAUCAUGUAGCA